CUAUCACUCCUACGGGAGGCAGCAGUCGGGGAAUAUUGCACAAUGGGGGAAACCCUGAUGCAGCCAUGCCGCGUGUGUGAAGAAGGCCUUCGGGUUGUAAAGCACUUUCAGUAGGGAGGAAGGUAGUGUAGUUAACACCUGCACUUAUUUGACGUUACCUACAGAAGAAGCACCGGCUAAACUCCGUGCCAGCAGCCGCGGUAAUACGGAGGGUGCGAGCGUUAAUCGGAAUUACUGGGCGUAAAGCGCAUGCAGGCGGCCUGUUAAGUCAGAUGUGAAAGCCCGGGGCUUAACCUCGGAAUUGCAUUUGAAACUGGCAGGCUAGAGUCUUGUAGAGGGGGUAGAAUUUCAGGUGUAGCGGUGAAAUGCGUAGAGAUCUGAAGGAAUACCAGUGGCGAAGGCGGCCCCCUGGACAAAGACUGACGCUCAGAUGCGAAAGCGUGGGGAGCAAACAGGAUUAGAUACCCUGGUAG
rnacentral:rRNA from 1 species